GAUGAACGCUGGCGGCGUGCCUAAUACAUGCAAGUCGAGCGAACAGACGAGGAGCUUGCUCCUCUAACGUUAGCGGCGGACGGGUGAGUAACACGUAGAUAACCUACCUAUAAGACUGGGAUAACUUCGGGAAACCGGAGCUAAUACCGGAGAAUAUAUUGAACCGCAUGGUUCAAUAGUGAAAGACGGUUUUGCUGUCACUUAUAGAUGGAGCCGCGCCGCAUUAGCGAGUUGGUAAGGUAACGGCUUACCAAGGCGACGAUCCGGAGCCGAUCUGAGAGGAUGAUCACCCACACUGGAACUGAGACACGGUCCAGACUCCUACGGGAGGCAGCAGUGGGGAAUAUUGGACAAUGGGCGCAAGCCUGAGGCAGCCAUACCGCGUGAGUGAAGAAGGUCUUCGGGUUGUAAAGCCCUUUUGUUGGGAAAGAAAAGCAGCAAAUUAAUACCCCGCUGUUCUGACGGUACCCAAAGAAAAAGCACCGGCUAACUUCGUG
rnacentral:rRNA from 1 species